rnacentral:rRNA from 1 species
GACGAACGCUGGCGGCAGGCUUAACACAUGCAAGUCGAACGGUAACGCGGGGCAACCUGGCGACGAGUGGCGAACGGGUGAGUAAUGCAUCGGAACGUGCCCAGUAGUGGGGGAUAGCCCGGCGAAAGCCGGAUUAAUACCGCAUACGACCUUCGGGUGAAAGGGGGGGAUCGCAAGACCUCUCGCUAUUGGACCGGCCGAUGUCAGAGUAGGUAGUUGGUGGGGUAAAAGCCUACCAAGCCGACGAUCUGUAGCUGGUCUGUGAGGCCGACCAGGCACACUGGGAGUGAGACACGGACCAGACUCCUGCGGGGGGGAGCAGUGGGAAAUUUGGGACAAUGGGCGCAAGCCUUAUCCAGCCAAGCCGCGUGCGGGAAGAAGGCCUUCGGGUUGUAAACCGCUUUUGUCAGGUAAGAAACGCUUCGAGCUAAUACCUCGGAGUAAUGACGGUACCUGAAGAAUAAGCACCGGCUAACUACGUGCCAGCAGCCGCGGUAA